ACGAAGCCCCAUACGCUUGAGAAAUGGACCCGGGGCCCGCCGCUGCCUUUCGGGUCCGCUCCCUGGAAGCAGGGGGCGGGGAUCCAACUCACAAGCCUUUGAAGAGUGGAGUAGUUUGGGUAGGCAGCUCUAAGUGUGUGGUAAAUUCCAUCUAAAGAUAAAUAUUGGCGAGAGACCGAUAGCGAACAAGUACAGUGAUGGAAAGAUGAAAAGAACUUUGAAAAGAGAGUGAAAAAGUACGUGAAAUUGUUGAAAGGGAAGGGCAUUUGAUCAGACAUGGUGUUUUGUGCCCUCUGCUCCUUGUGGGUAGGGGAAUCUCGCAUUUCACUGGGCCAGCAUCAGUUUUGGUGGCAGGAUAAAUGCAUAGGAAUGUAGCUUGCCUCGGUAAGUAUUAUAGCCUGUGGGAAUACUGCCAGCUGGGACUGAGGACUGCGACGUAAGUCAAGG
rnacentral:rRNA from 1 species